AAGAAUUGCCCCGUCCUCUCGAGGAUGGGUCCUCUUCUAAACCGUGUAUACAUACCUUUGUUGCUUUGGCGGGCCGCCGUCUCGGCGUUGGCUUCGGCUGACUGUGCCCGCCAGAGGACCCCAACUCUUCUGUUUAGUAUUGUCUGAGUACUAUAUAAUAGUUA
rnacentral:misc_RNA from 1 species